rnacentral:rRNA from 1 species
AGCGAACGCUGGCGGCGUACUUAACACAUGCAAGUCGAACGGGGAUCAUCGGGUUAGCAAUAACUCGGUGGUCCUAGUGGCGCACGGGUGAGUAACACGUGGGUAACCUGCCCUGGAGACCGGGAUACCCCCCUCGAAAGGGGGGCGUAAUACCGGAUACGUUCCCUGGAUCGAGAGGUCUGGGGAGGAAAGGUAGGCGAAAGCUGCCGCUCUUGGAGGGGCUCGCGGCCUAUCAGCUAGUUGGCGGGGUAACGGCCCACCAAGGCUAUGACGGGUAGCUGGUCUGAGAGGACGACCAGCCACACGGGGACUGAGACACGGCCCCGACUCCUACGGGAGGCAGCAGUGGGGAAUUUUCCGCAAUGGGCGAAAGCCUGACGGAGUGACGCCGCGUGUGGGACGAAGGCC